CCUUUUGGUGAUCGUACUGCAAACCGACUCAGGUGGACGGGGUGAAUAUCCCAAGGCGCGUGAGAGAACCCUGGUUAAGGAACUCGGCAAAUUGACACCGUAACUUCGGGAGAAGGUGUGCCGCUGGCGGUUAGUGACUUCGCGUCACGAAGCUGUUGGUGGUCGCAGUGAAAUGGCGGUUGUGACUGUUUACUAAAAACACAGGACUCUGCGAAGUCGUAAGACGACGUAUAGGGUCUGAUGCCUGCCCGGUGCUGGAAGGUUAAGGGGAUAUGUCAGCGCAAGCGAAGCAUUGAACCGAAGCCCCAGUAAACGGCGGCCGUAACAAUAACGGUCCUAAGGUAGCGAAAUUCCUUGUCGGGUAAGUUCCGACCUGCACGAAGGGCAUAACAACAUCCGCACUGUCUCGACCAGGGACUCAGCGAAAUUACAUUGGGGGUGAAGAUGCCCUCUACCCGCGGAAAGACGGAAAGACCCCAUGAACCUUUACUGCAACUUGGCAGUGAUUUUCGGGUUGUUCUGCGUAGGAUAGGUGGGAGGCUUUGAAGCCGGGCUUCCGGGUUCGGCAGAGCCAACGUUGAAAUACCACCCUGAAUAAUCUGGAAAUCUAACCUGCGCCCAUGAUCUGGGCGAGGGACACUGCCUGGUGGGCAGUUUGACUGGGGCGGUCGCCUCCUAAAUUGUAACGGAGGCGUGCGACGGUUCCCUCAGGCUGAUUGGAAACCAGCCGUAGAGUGCAAACGCAUAAGGGAGCUUUACUGCGAGACUGACAAGUCGACCAGUUGCGAAAGCAGGUGUUAGUGAUCCGGUGGUACCACAUGGAAGGGCCAUCGCUCAUCGGAUAAAAGGUACUCUGGGGAUAACAGGCUGAUCGCGCCUGAGAGUUCACAUCGGCGGCGCGGUUUGGCACCUCGAUGUCGGCUCAUCGCAUCCUGGGGCUGGAGCAGGUCCCAAGGGUUUGGCUGUUCGCCAAUUAAAGCGGUACGCGAGCUGGGUUUAAAACGUCGUGAGACAGUUUGGUCCCUAUCUUCCGUGGGCGCAGGAUACUUGAGAGGAGCUAUCCAUAGUACGAGAGGACCUGGAUGGACGAACCUCUGGUGCUCCGGUUGUCACGCCAGUGGCAUAGCCGGGUAGCCAUGUUCGGAACAGAUAACCGCUGAAGGCAUAUAAGCGGGAAGCUGGCCUCAAAACUAGGUAUCCCUGACGCAAGUCACUAAAGGCCCCUCGAAGACUACGAGGUUGAUAGGCUCGGUGUGGAAGCACAGCGAUGUGCGGAGCUAACGAGUACUAAUAGGCCGUGCGGCUUGACCUC
rnacentral:rRNA from 1 species